AUGCUAAGUGACAAGCUCAGUGAAGAUUUCUGUGGAAGACACGCACCUUUUAGGGAAACCUGGUUUAAAUAUAUGAAGACUACUAUACACAGCAGUCUGGGAAAAAUUCAGUGCUCAGGUGACAGCUUUCCACGGACAGCAGAGAGCAGCUCCUCUGCCCUCGUGGGGCCUCCAGAGGUCCUUCGGAGAAUCCUGUCAGCCCCUCUCAGAAGCAAAGGCACGGCGCGUUUCCAAGUCGGUCACAUCCUGGUGUGUGGAGAAGCCUGCGGCUGCUUCCCUAAGAUGCCGGCCGGGCGCGAGGAAGAACUGGGCCGCUCUGCAGUCAGCCGCUCAUGCCACAUGCCGGGAGCCACCACUGUCACCUUCUUCUCUUCACAUUCAGUCACCGAAUCCUGUAAAUCACUCUCUUCUUCCCAUCUCUACUGCCGCCACCUCAUCCAAGUCACCAGCCUUUCUGCCGAGGCAGCUGCAACACCUUCUCUAGGUGGUCAUCCCACAUCAAGCCCACCUUCCUCACGGCUGCCACGUACAUUCACCUCUACGUGAUGUCCUGAAUCUGCCUUGGUCUGCAAUACAUGCUAAAGUCCUGGGACAGGAAUAAGCUGGCCCACAAAUCUAACAACAUUCAGUGACUGGAGGCUGAAAAUGGCUAAGUACCGGGAGAACAUGGCGGACAGAUAACAGCAACUGCCGGAGCUCUUCUGAAAAACUAGGCUCAGAAGCGAGGUAAGCUGUGGACUA
rnacentral:lncRNA from 1 species